AUGCUGUUUUGUAGUUUGAGCUGGUUUGGGGUGUUUUUUGUGGGUUUUUUUUUUUUUUUUUUGGUUUUUUUUUUUUUGCAUUUUCUUUGGCGUUACAUAGAAAAUCUGAGCCUUGGUUUCAACCCUCUGCAGGUGAUUGUAGGGUUCGAGAUGGCUGUUUUUUGGGUUUUUUUUGUUUUUUGUUUUGUUUUGUUCUUACAUUUCACUUGUCUUGUUGCAUGAUGGUUAAUAGCUGAUUUGGAAAUGACAUUUCUCUCCUAGAUUAAUUUUUGUGUUUGUAAGAUGUGCAUAUUGCUUUGCAGAAUAAAAACUAUGAAGUUUAUCC
rnacentral:lncRNA from 1 species